UGGCGAACUGUCGCUUGGCUGCUCAGGCUGUAGGCACACAUUCGAGAUUAGGCGAAUGUGUCGUCACGAGGUGGGUCAUGGGUGAGGGGGUGAAGCCGAUGCGUUUUCUUUGACAACACGAGUGGCAGUUGACACCAGAGGACGGGGAGGCCAGCAGUUCAGAUAUGCUCGCUGGGUCUGAAGGGACGAAAUAUCCAGGGAUUGUUUGUGCUGGGGCAGUGCACUAAUCUACUUGAAGCGUAGGGGUGACAGAGAGUUGUCAAAGGCUGAGUAUGGUCUUGGGGUCGCCUGCGGCAUGGCAUAGCCACUUGAUCGGAUAUGCGAGGGACGGGACGAUACCAUGAAGGGAGCGGCGGAUGUGGGGGAUUGAGUGAUCUAUGCGCUCCUUGCGCACUGGUCGGAGGGUUCAUAGUCGAUGUCGUAUCGAGUGUAGAGAGUUGGGAUACGUCUCAGGAGCCGGUCGCAUGGUGAAAAACGAGGCGAUACCCUCACGGCAGCAAGGGGUGAGACAUAUACCACCGAUCAAUAGGUCAUUUGGGUGCGUUCAUACCGUACGCCGGACCGCUUUUUCCGUUCUUUAAUGUCCAGUAUGAUGCCGUACGUGAUCAGGAAUUCGGGAGUGAUGAUGAAUGCGGGUUUGUUCCGUGGUAGACUUAGCGAAGUGUGGGUGAGUGAGGGCAACGAUUUGGGCGGCAUGUGCGUGUGAUGGGGACUGUCGGGCGUAGGGUUCGAAGCGGGCUGUGGAUGUCGAGGCGCUGGCAGCGUACGUAGGUUUGAGAUUGCGGGGUAGGGGCAGCGCGAGCUAGUGCGUGGCUCAUUGGAUUCGGCCCCACAUGGGAUCCCUUGGUUAGGAGUGUGCUGCGUGAGUGCAGUCUGAGGAAGUGAGCGGGAGAGUCGGCGGUGUUGGUGGACAAUCAUUCUGAUGCGAAUCUGUUCCGGGGAUAGCGUAUGGAUUCAUAGGUGGCAUCUAGAAAUGACCCUGACCUAAGGGGCCUGUACCCACAGCCGCUGUUCGCACGAACGGGAAGCGGCGUCCACGCCUGCUGUCACAUUAUAAUGGGCGUACCAUUUUUUUGGAUUACGCUGCUAAUCGCAAUGCACAAUCGUUCCUUCGACUACGCCAUCCAUGUCUCGCCUCUAUCACAAAUCACUCCCAUCCCUUCCCUCACCGGCUGCCUCCUCCGCGGCUACAGCACACUCCGACGAUGCUUUCGAGUAUCCAAGGGUAGCAGGUGGUCGUGUAGUGUAUCUUGAAGGCGGCAGUCGGUCGUAUGCGUCCAGGGCUACUUGCUUGCAGCAUAUGAUUUAGGAGCUGACCCGGAUUCCUAUGAGGACGCGAGUAUCCUUGGAGUGAUCCUGAUGCCGAGGAAAGACAUAGUGCGUGAAUAAUCGGAGAGGAAUCGUGUGUCGGGUGGGUACGGUUUUGCCGCGUGUUGAUGUCGCUUGUGAGUUGCAGCGACCAUGCAGAAAGGCCAGAGGACCUUCGGUCACAUUCCGGUUCCGGAGAGUGCAUGGUGUGUGGUUUAGGGGGCUGUCGCAUGCCCUUUCAGAGUCUGCGCGUAGAGUGAAACGUGGCACUUCGUUACAGGGUGUACGCCGACGUUAGAAAUCAUUUGAAUAUGUUGGCACGAGGUGGUCCAUGGUUGAGGGGGUGAAGCCGAUGCGUUUUCUUUGACAACACGAGUGGCAGUUGACACCAGAGGACGGGGAGGCCAGCAGUUCAGAUAUGCUCGCUGGGUCUGAAGGGACGAAAUAUCCAGGGAUUGUUUGUGCUGGGGAAGUGCACCAAUCUACUUGAAGCGUAGGGGUGACAGAGAGUUGUCAAAGGCUGAGUAUGGUCUUGGGGUCGCCUGCGGCAUGGCAUAGCCACUUGAUCGGAUAUGCGAGGGAUGGGACGUUACCAGGAAGGUAGCGGCGGAUGUGGGGGAUUGAGUGAUCUAUGCGCUCCUUGCGCACUGGUCGGAGGGUUCAUAGUCGAUGUCGUAUCGAGUGUAGAGAGUUGGGAUACGUCUCAGGAGCCGGUCGCAUGGUGAAAAACGAGGCGAUACCCUCACGGCAGCGAGGGGUGAGACAUAUACCACCGAUCAAUAGGUCAUUUGGGUGCGUUCAUACCGUGCGCCGGACCGCUUUUUCCGUUCUUUAAUAUCCAGUCUGAUGCCGUACGUGAUCAGGAAUUCGGAAGUGAUGAUGAAUGCGAGUUUGUUCCGUGGUAGACUUAGCGAAGUGUGGGUGAGUGAGGGCAACGAUUUGGGCGGCAUGUGCGUGUGAUGGGGACUGUCGGGCGUAGGGUUCGAAGCGGGCUGUGGAUGUCGAGGCGCUGGCAGCGUACGUAGGUUUGAGAUUGCGGGGUAGGGGCAGCGCGAGCUAGUGCGUGGCUCAUUGGAUUCGGCCCCACAUGGGAUCCUUUGGUUAGGAGUGUGCUGCGUGAGUGCAGUCUGAGGAAGUGAGCUGGAGAGUCGGCGGUGUUGGUGGACAAUCAUUCUGAUGCGAAUCUGUUCCGGGGAUAGCGUAUGGAUUCAUAGGUGGCAUCUAGAAAUGACCCUGACCUAAGGGGCCUGUACCCACAGCCGCUGUUCGCACGAACGGGAAGCGGCGUCCACGCCUGCUGUCACAGUAUAAUGGGCGUACCAUUUUUUUGGAUUACGCUGCUAAUCGCAAUGCACAAUCGUUCCUUCGACUACGCCAUCCAUGUCUCGCCUCUAUCACAAAUCACUCCCAUCCCUUCCCUCACCGGCUGCCUCCUCCGCCGCUACAGCACACUCCGACGAUGCUUUUGAGUAUCCAAGGGUAGCAGGUGGUCGUGUAGUGUAUCUUGAAGGCAGCAGUCGGUCGUAUGCGUCCAGGGCUACUUGCAUGCAGCACAUGAUUUAGGAGCUGACCCGGAUUCCUAUGAGGACGCGAGUAUCCUUGGAGUGAUCCUGAUGCCGAGGAAAGACAUGGUGCGUGAAUAAUCGGAGAGGAAUCGUGUGUCGGGUGGGUACGGUUUUGCCGCGUGUUGAUGGCGCUUGUGAGUUGCAGCGACCAUGCAGAAAGGCCAGAGGACCUUCGGUCACAUUCCGGUUCCGGAGAGUGCAUGGUGUGUCGUUUGGCGGCUGUCGGAUGUCGUUCCAGUCUCUGUGGAUAUGGCGAACUGUCGCUUCGCUGCUCAGGCUGUAGGCUUUGGGUGCCGGGUAUGAGAUGCUGUUGACAUAACGUUCGUGUGCGUUUGGCGCUAUCACUGUGGUCUUAUAGGCGUCGCGGGGUGAUCUUGAACAGGCAGUGUCAUCGGAAUCGGCGGUCCGGGUUCGGCAGACGGGAGCGCAGGUGGACAUGCGUUUCAGAGCCAGUUGACGGAUCUGGGUCACGCUGCCUCACUGAGAGACUAGGCGGCGUCAUGCAUACAGCGUGGGUUCAACAUAAUGUCCUGAAUGGGGGAAGCGGCCGCCCGGGGCGAAACUAUGUGGUACCGGGCAUUGCCAUAAAGAUGUGGUUGGUGUCCCACGUUUCGGCAGCCGGUGCCGGCUGUUGUUUGGCUUCAGUAGCCGCAUGUAAGAAGCGACUUGCGUGAGGGCGAAACAAGUGUCCAGUACUUUGUGACGUCGAGUGGAGGAGCAGUGAGAUAUUCAGCUAUCGCUUCGGGUGUUCGGCCCUUCCACCACAAACGGGAGCCGAUCUUCGGCGGAACCAGGUGCUAUACGUGUUUCACUGGAACUUUGUGUGUGUAGCCAGGCUGUAGUGAACGGUGCAUGCGAGAUAACGGAGGCUGCAGCAGAAUCUCUUUGUCGAACCGCUGGGGUAGCGAAGAAAACGAAGAACGCCGAAAGGGACCAUGACGGAAUUGCUGUCUGUCAGUGAGCGGCUGUCCUACGUUGUGGGAAUGCGUCUGGGGGUCCUCGUUGUGUCGAGCGACAGAGGAUCGUGGUAUUCCUGUGUUUCGUUUGUAGAACAAGUAAGCACACUCAGGCGGGCACGAAACGCCGAUGGUCAGGUACAAUUCAGAGCAGAUCCGGGGUAUCAAAGUUUCCCGUAUGGCUGACGAACCAAGGUGUCUACCGGGCUAGUAGCCGGAUUACGCACCGCCAACAGGGCACGUCGAAGCAACAAGAUGAAGUCUGGCAUGCGAAGGAGCGAUACAACGGGGGAAAGGUUUUCCUGUAUGGGAGAAAUCGUAAAUUGUAAUGACUCGGGUUCCCCGCGGCACCAGACGUAUUCCAACUUCUGUAUACUGACGCUCGAUCCAUGAAACCCGAACGGCAGACGGAGGCUCUGUUGUCGAGCGUUGGAGACAAAUAGUGGGCGUCUGUAGAGUAUCCUGACCCUUAUCACGUAGAGAUUGUACGUAAAGUUGGGCGAUGAUUGAGGCCCGUGUUCUUCGUUUCCAUUUGAGGCAGGCUGGAAAGCAGUUGGCUCGCAAGGGAGAAUGCGUGCGACAAGAGACUACAGUUUUAGGGCGGCGGACAACGGGAAAAUGUACCGUGUGGGUGGGAGGGGUGUUUCGGCAACGGCGAACCGGUAUACACAGAGGUCUUCUGGACGGACAGUCACUUUGUCAAGGCUGCGGCACGCAUGCGUGAGGCUUCUCACGGUCGUAUGGCAAGUUGAUCAUGUCUAUGUUUGCGACCUGCCAGACAAAUUUGUGUUGGAAAUCUCGCGAAUGUAGGAGCGCGGAUGGAGCACCUGUAGCGGGGUGCUAGUGGAUAGGAAUGCUUUUGCCCGUCUGGAUGAUGUCAGUUCCGAGACAGCGGACACGGAGGGGCACAGUAGGGAGCAGUGCGUGUGAGUGAUGGAUACAUUCACAGAAUGCAGAUACUCAUUGCGCUGAUGUGAUAUUUGGGGGAGCUGACAAAGGAUGGCGACUCAAGAUACGCAUAGGUGACGAGCAACUCUUCGUUGUAAUUCCUGCCGAUAUGCGACUGUGGGGGUAGUGCCUGAUUACCAUUCAUGAUCGCGCAGAGGCGCUGCUAAAGUGGGAGCCAUGUAGUGCCGCGUUGGUUGCGGACCUCUCGUGUGGAUCAUUCGCCUGCCGAUAUGUAGCGGCAACGCAAGGGCUUCGUUUCAACCGUGGCAGUUGCCCUCAGGGAGGAUGUCGAAGACUUCACGUAUGUAGAGGUUUCCACCGGAGAGUACCUGCCGCCUGCCGGCGGCGUCGCUCCGAAAGUGCACACAGCGCCAGCGCGUAGAACACUGGGUGGUUGUGCGUCCGCGUCCAGUCUGACACCAUGAUUUGCGUUGUUUCUGCCGUGGUAGUUGCACUGCUGCGGUGUUGUGUACGGGACUCCUGUUGAUCACAGAACGCAGGUUGCGUAGGACGUUGGCGAAUCCGUCGAUGGCCAGUUACAGAAGGCCGGAAGGUGCAGCAAGCCGAUGCGCGUGGGCGAAGGAAUCAGGACAUUCUCUACUUUAGUCACGUGUUGCCCACAGAAUGAGAGAUGAUCAUUCUGAAACCAUCGAGACGAAGAGGUGGUCGUAUGAUUCUUCCACUGUAAUAUACUGAAGUGCGGGAUAUUCUUUUUUUCGUUUUCCAUGGGGCUUCUCAUCAUCACAUACUCGUACGAGAGUUUUUAACUGUGAUUCUGUACACGUAAGAUGUUUUUGGAAGACGACGGUGGCUAAAGAGCGUCGUGCGUUUUGUGGAUGUAUAGUGGUAGUUCUUUGUAUUGUAGCCGUAGUUUCAUCUAGAUUCUGUAAUCAUGUACGGGUAUCUGUGGAACAUGACCGCAGAUAUAUGGAAGGGAAUCACAGACUUCAUGAUCAUUUAUUCAGUGAACGCGGUGUUUUAUGGCACUGAGGGUGCUACUCUCUACUUGAAUGGUAGUUUAAGGUGGUAUGACUGAAGUCUGUAACCAUGCAAUAUGGGUAGGAGACACCGAUGGAGCACAACCGUACGAUGUUUGCGUGGUUUGAUCGUUGGGACCUAAGGGCGACUGCAAACGGUGCUGCAUCCGG
rnacentral:lncRNA from 1 species